rnacentral:rRNA from 1 species
GACGAACGCUGGCGGCGUGCUUAACACAUGCAAGUCGAACGGACGAGUGAGAUAAGUUUACUUAACUCACAAGUUAGUGGCGGACGGGUGAGUAACACGUGGAUAAUCUACCUGCAACACCGGGAUAACGCUGUGAAAACGGUGCUAAUACCGGAUACGUUCCCUUGUGCGCAUGUAUGAGGGAAGAAAGCUCAGGCGGUUGCAGAUGAGUCCGCGGCUGAUUAGCUAGUUGGUGAGGUAAAGGCUCACCAAGGCGAUGAUCAGUAGCCGGCCUGAGAGGGUGAACGGCCACACUGGGACUGAGACACGGCCCAGACUCCUACGGGAGGCAGCAGUGGGGAAUCUUCCGCAAUGGGCGCAAGCCUGACGGAGCAACGCCGCGUGGGUGAAGAAGGCCUUCGGUUGUAAGCCUGUCUUAUGGGAAGAAGUCAGUGACGGUACCAUAGGAGGAAGCCACGGCGUAACUACGUGCCAGCAGCCGCGGUAAGAU